GCACAUUGGAGGUACUCUAACCACAGUCACCUUUUUCUAUUGUCUCUUUCUUCAUCCGCGAGAUUCCCAGAUAAACAAGAACUCCACAACUUCCAGCAAUCGAUUUUUUUGGCUUCCGGUGGCGACAACCUGUUCGAGUUAAAGCUCUUCCAGCGGAUGUACAGACGGAGGUGCACUGUGGAUCUGGCCGUAGUCGGACAUGGUAAGAUCGGCGGCGGCCUGCGGUUUGGGAUCGCGUUUCGGAGCUCACAGAUCCGGUGGAUGAGCAUCGGAGGUCGAUUCGCGGUUGAAGCGGGUUUGCGGUCUGGGGAGUGA